CCUUACCUACUCUUGACAUCCAGAGAACUUAGCAGAGAUGCUUUGGUGCCUUCGGGAACUCUGAGACAGGUGCUGCAUGGCUGUCGUCAGCUCGUGUUGUGAAAUGUUGGGUUAAGUCCCGCAACGAGCGCAACCCUUAUCCUUUGUUGCCAGCGAUUAGGUCGGGAACUCAAAGGAGACUGCCAGUGAUAAACUGGAGGAAGGUGGGGAUGACGUCAAGUCAUCAUGGCCCUUACGAGUAGGGCUACACACGUGCUACAAUGGCNUAUACAAAGAGAAGCGACCUCGCGAGAGCAAGCGGACCUCAUAAAGUAUGUCGUAGUCCGGAUUGGAGUCUGCAACUCGACUCCAUGAAGUCGGAAUCGCUAGUAAUCGUGGAUCAGAAUGCCA
rnacentral:rRNA from 1 species